rnacentral:pre_miRNA from 1 species
UCUUAUGGAUGAGCAGAGAAAGUGGUUUCCUGAUAUGGAAUCUACUCUUGUCAAAGGUACUGUGAA